rnacentral:lncRNA from 1 species
GCUAGGACUUCCAAAACUAUGUUGAAGAGUAGUGGUGAGAGCGGACAUCCUUGUCUUGUUCCUGAUCUCAGUGGGAAUUCUUUUUGCUUUUCACCAUUGAGAAUGAUGUUUGCUCUGGGUUUGUCAUAUAUGGCCUUUAUUAUGUUGAGGUGGGUUCCCUCUAUGCCCACUUUCUGAGGGUUUUUUAUAAGAAAUGGGUGUUGGAUUUUGUCAAAGUCUUUUUCUGCAUCUAAUGAGAGGUUCAUAUGGUUUUUAUUCUUCAGUUUGUUAAUGUGGUGUAUCACGCUAAUGGAUCUGUGAAUAUUGAAGAACUCUUGCAUCCCUGGGAUAAAUCCCACUUGAUCAUGAUGUACAAUCUUUUUAAUGUAUUGUUGGAUGUGGUUUGCUAGUAUUUUGUUAAGAAUUUUUGCAUCUAUGUUCAUCAGUGAAACACGCCUUUAAUUUCCUUUUUUUUGUGGUAUCUUUAUCUGUUUUUGGUAUCAGGGUGAUGGUUGCCUCAUAGAAUGAGUUUGGGAGUGUCCCUUCCUUGGCAAUUUUUUGGAAUAUUUUCAGAAGAAUAGGUGUUAGCUCUUCUCUAAAUAUUUGAUAGAAUUCACCUGUGAAGUCAUCUGGUCCUGGACUUUAAUUUGUUGGAAGUUUUUUAAUCACAGUUUCAAUUUCAGUUCUUGUGAUGGUUGUGUUCAUCUUUUCUAUUUCAUCUUGGUUUAGUCUUGGAAGAUUGUACUUUUCUAUGAAUUUGUCCAUUUCUUCUAGUUUUUCUUUUUUUUUUUUGGCAUAUAGUUGCAUAUAGUAGGUUCUUAUGACCCUUUGUAUUUCUGUUUUCCCUUGUAAUUUCUCCCUUUUCAUUUCUAAUUUUAUUGAUUUGAGUCCUCUCUCUUUUUUUCUUGGUAAAUCUGGCUAGGUUUUAUCAAUUUUGUUGAACUUUUCAAAGAACCAGCUUUUCGUUUCAUUGAUCUUUUCUGUGGUUUUCAUCCUUUCUAUUUCAUUGAUUUCUGCUCUGAUCUUUAUGAUUUCUUUCCUUCCACUAACUUUAGGUUCUUGUCUGUUCUUCUCUCUCGAGCUGCUUUAGAUGUAAAGCUAGCUUGUUUAUUUGAGCUUUUUCUUGUUUCCUGAGGUGGGCUUGUACUGCUAUAACCUUUCCUCUUAGAACGGCUUUUGCUGCAUCCCAUAGGUUUUGGAGUGUUGUAUCUUUGUUGUCAUUUGCUUCUAGGUAUUUUUUAAUUUCCUCUUUGACUUCUUCAGUGAUCC